rnacentral:tRNA from 1 species
GGAUGGGUGGCUGAGCGGUUGAAAGCACCGGUCUUGAAAACCGGCGGGGCGCAAGCCCUCCUGAGUUCGAAUCUCAGCCCAUCCGCCA